UACAGAGGGGGCAAGCGUUGUUCGGAAUUACUGGGCGUAAAGGGCGCGUAGGCGGCCUGUUAAGUCGAACGUGAAAUCCCCGGGCUCAACCCGGGAACUGCGUCCGAUACUGGCAGGCUUGAAUUCGGGAGAGGGAUGUGGAAUUCCAGGUGUAGCGGUGAAAUGCGUAGAUAUCUGGAGGAACACCGGUGGCGAAGGCGGCAUCCUGGACCGAUAUUGACGCUGAUGCGCGAAAGCGUGGGGAGCAAACAGG
rnacentral:rRNA from 1 species